rnacentral:rRNA from 1 species
AACGAACGCUGGCGGCGUGCCUAACACAUGCAAGUCGUGCGAGAAAAGGGGGGCAACUCCCUGAGUAAAGCGGCGCACGGGUGAGUAACACGUAGGUAACCUACCCCCGAGCCCGGGAUAACCUACCGAAAGGUGGGCUAAUACUGGAUAUGACCACGGGAACUUCGGCUCCCGCGGUGAAAGGUGGCCUCUGCUUGCAAGCUACCACUCGAGGACGGGCCUGCGCGCCAUUAGCUAGUUGGUGGGGAAUGGCUCACCAAGGCGAUGAUGGCUAGCUGGUCUGAGAGGAUGGCCAGCCACACUGGGACUGGGAACACGGCCCAGACUCCUACGGGAGGCAGCAGGUGGGGGAUAUUGCGCAAUGGGCGAAAGCCUGACGCAGCGACGCCGCGUGGGUGAUGAAGGCC